AUUGAACGCUGGCGGCAGGCCUAACACAUGCAAGUCGAGCGGAUGAAGGGAGCUUGCUCCUGGAUUCAGCGGCGGACGGGUGAGUAAUGCCUAGGAAUCUGCCUGGUAGUGGGGGAUAACGUCCGGAAACGGGCGCUAAUACCGCAUACGUCCUGAGGGAGAAAGUGGGGGAUCUUCGGACAUCACGCUAUCAGAUGAGCCUAGGUCGGAUUAGCUAGUUGGUGGGGUAAAGGCCUACCAAGGCGACGAUCGGUAACUGGUCGGAGAGGAUGAUCAGUCACACUGGAACUGAGACACGGUCCAGACUCCUACGGGAGGCAGCAGUGGGGAAUAUUGGACAAUGGGCGAAAGCCUGAUCCAGCCAGGCCGCGUGUGUGAAGAAGGUCUUCGGAUUGUAAAGCACUUUAAGUUGGGAGGAAGGGCAGUAAGUUAAUACCUUGCUGUUUUGACGUUACCAACAGAAUAAGCACCGGCUAAUUUCGUG
rnacentral:rRNA from 1 species